GACGAACGCUGGCGGCGCGCUUAACACAUGCAAGUCGAGCGAUAACCCAGGCUUCGGCCUGGGGGAAAGCGGCGAACGGGUGAGUAACACGUGGGUAAUCUGCCCUCGACAUCGGGAUAGCCCGGGGAAACCCGGAUUAAUACCGGAUAGCCCAACAGUUCCUCGGAGCGGUUGGAAAAGGUAGCUUCGGCCUCCGGUCGAGGAGGAGCCCGCGGCGGAUUAGCUUGUUGGUGAGGUAACGGCUCACCAAGGCUCCGAUCCGUAGCUGGUCUGAGAGGACGAUCAGCCACACUGGGACUGAGACACGGCCCAGACUCCUACGGGAGGCAGCAGUGGGGAAUCUUGCGCAAUGGGCGAAAGCCUGACGCAGCGACGCCGCGUGCGGGAAGAAGGCCUUCGGGUUGUAAACCGCUUUCAGGAGGGACGAAGCCACUCGGGUUAAUAGCCCAGAGGGUGACGGUACCUCCAGAAGAAGCCCCGGCUAACUACGUGCCAGCCGCCGCCGUAAGAC
rnacentral:rRNA from 1 species